AUUGAACGCUGGCGGCAGGCCUAACACAUGCAAGUCGAACGAGUGGCGGACGGGUGAGUAAUGUCUGGUAAACUGCCUGAUGGAGGGGGAUAACUACUGGAAACGGUAGCUAAUACCGCAUACCCUCAGAUGUACCCAUAUGGGAUUAGCUAGUUGGUGGGGUAACGGCUCACCAGGGCGACGAUCCCUCGCUGGUCUGAGAGGAUGACGAGCAACACUGGAACUUGGACACGGUCAAGACGCUUACGGGAGGCAGAAGUGGGGAAUAUUGCACAAUGGGCGAAAGCCGGAGGCAGCCAUGCGGCGUGUAUUAAGAAGGCCUCCGGGUUGUAAAGUACUUUCAGCGGGGAGGCGUUACCCGCAUAAGAAGCACCGGCUAACUCCGUGCCAGCAGCCGCGGUAAUUC
rnacentral:rRNA from 1 species